rnacentral:rRNA from 1 species
GUCCUUUAGUGUUUAAUUUAAGGUCUGACCUGCCCACUGAAUAAUUGAAGGGCCGCAGUAUUUUGACUGUGCAAAGGUAGCAUAAUAAUUAGUUUUUUAAUUGAAAGCUUGUAUGAAGGGUUGGACGAAGUAAAAUCUGUCUCUAUAAAAUUUAUAAUUGAAUUUAAUUUUUAAGUUAAAAAGCUUAAAUUCUUAUAAAAGACGAGAAGACCCUAUAGAUCUUUAUAUUUAUUGAAUUUAUUUUUAUUAAGAUUUUUUAAGGUUUAAAUUUAAUAAUUAUUUUAUUGGGGUAAUAGUUAGAUUUAAUUAAUUCUUUAUAUUUUUUACAUUAAUUAAUGAUAAUUUGAUCCAAUUUUUUGAUUACAAGAUUAAGUUACCUUAGGGAUAACAGCGUAAUUUUUUUUGAGAGUUCAUAUCGAUAAAAGAGUUUGCGACCUCGAUGUUGGAUUAAAAAUUAUCUUAGGGGUAGAAUUUUAAGAUUUUGGUCUGUUCGACCAUUGAAUUUUUACAUGAUCUGAGUUCAGACCGGCGUAAGCCAGGUUGGUUUCUAUCUUUAUUUAAUUAAAAUAUUUUAGUACGAAAGGACCAAAUAUUAAAUAUAUUUAUUAUUAGUUUUGAAUAU